rnacentral:rRNA from 1 species
GGCUUAAACUCAAAGGAAUUGACGGGGACCCGCACAAGCGGUGGAUGAUGUGGAUUAAUUCGAUGCAACGCGAAAAACCUUACCUACCCUUGACAUGCCAGGAACUUGCCAGAGAUGGCUUGGUGCCCGAAAGGGAGCCUGGACACAGGUGCUGCAUGGCUGUCGUCAGCUCGUGUCGUGAGAUGUUGGGUUAAGUCCCGCAACGAGCGCAACCCUUGUCAUUAGUUGCCAUCAUUCAGUUGGGCACUCUAAUGAGACUGCCGGUGACAAACCGGAGGAAGGUGGGGAUGACGUCAAGUCCUCAUGGCCCUUAUGGGUAGGGCUUCACACGUCAUACAAUGGUCGGUCCAGAGGGUUGCCAAGCCGCGAGGUGGAGCCAAUCCCAGAAAGCCGAUCGUAGUCCGGAUUGGAGGCUGCAACUCGCCUCCAUGAAGUCGGAAUCGCUAGUAAUCGCGGAUCAGCAUGUCGCGGUGAAUACGUUCCCGGGUCUUGUACACACCGCCCGUCACACCAUGGGAGCGGGUUCCGCCAGAAGUAGGUAGCCUAACCGCAAGGAGGGCGCUUACCACGGCGGGGUUCGUGACUGGGGUGAAGUCGUAACAAGGUAGCCGUAGGGGAACCUGCGGCUGGAUCACCUCCU